rnacentral:lncRNA from 1 species
CAUUUCACCAUGUUGGCCAGGCUGGUCUUAAACUCCUGGCCUCAAGUGAUCCUCCCUCCUUGGCUUCCCAAAGUGCUGGAAUUACAUUACAGGUGUGAGCCACGGCGCCCAGCCAGCUACUGCCUUUUUAAAUGCAUGCCACAGAACCCUGUACCCGGAAGUACAUCCUCAUUAGCAAAAUCUCUUGUAAGUAAUCCCAGUGGGUACCUGUAGAGUGAUAUGCAGUUAUGGAAAUUGACACAGAAUUCAGAUAAAUCAUGGUGGCCCUGCUGAGCAGCAGGCAGUGAGCCUAAAAAGUGGGUGAAAUGUCUCUGCCUCUUCUUCCUACCCACUUCGUAUUGGUUUUCAAGAGACUCUCUGACCUGCCACUCUGACAUUUAUACUUUCACAGCAUUAAAGAUAAUCCAUGCAUUUACUUCGCAAUCUCUCGAAUUCCUACCAGAGCUUUCUGUUAAGGGCAUCUAUAUUCAGAAAUAUCAACUGAACAUUGUCUGUUAGGGCAAAGUAGCACAGUGAUUCCAAGUGUACACAAAAUGUUCUGCCUCUCCAGAAGGCAUUAAGAUGACGCCAGGGGAGAGCAAGUGGGCGAUUCAGCUCUAGCUCUGAAUCCACGCCUGGCAGGGUUAAUUUUAUGCAUCAACUUGGCUGGGCCACGGUGCCCAGACAAGACAUCUGGUCACACAUUACUCUGGGUGGUUCUGUGAAGGUGUUGUUGGAUGCGACUAACAUUUAAAUAAGUACACACUGACCAGCAGAUCAUCCUCUUGCUUGUGGGUGGGCCUCAUCAAAUCAGUCGAAGGCCCAAAUAGAUUGAAAGGCUGACCUCCCCAAAGCCCGAGGGGAUUCUCCAGCAGGCAGCCUUCGGACUUCAUCUGCAACACUGGCUCCCCCUGCUUCAGACUCAAACUGCAGCUCUUUCCUAAGUUUCCAGCCUACAGAUCUUCCCCAUCAGAUUUUGGGCUCACUGGUCAUCCACAAUCACAUGUUCCUAAACAUAAAAUUUCUUGCUAUGUAUGUACUGACCCUAUCAGGUCUAUUUCUAUGGAAAACCCUGACUAAAACAAUUCCAAAUUAACCUCUGAAUAAUCCUUGGGAACCAUCUAAGUUCCCAAGACUUUGAACUGAAGGUCGUACUCACCAAGCUUUAACAUGAUUCUAGACUCAGGAGACAAGCUUUGCACAAACCAACCAUUCCCUGAGAGCCAGGCUCAAAAAGGCAGACUCUCCCUAAUGACCGGCAGAACCUAAGGACUCGAGUUGGAGGCACGACCGUUGGUAUGGCUCUGGAAUGUUGGCACAGCCCUGGAGUGAAACCCAAUGGAACCCAGCAUGGCCCUGGGACAUCAGCAUGGCCCCGGAAUGAAUGGAGGCAUGGCUCUAGAACACCUGCAUGGCCCUGUGACAUCAACAUGGCCCUAGAACAUCUGCAUGGCCCAGUGACAUCAACAUGGCCCUAGAACAUCUGCAUGGGCCUAGAACAUCUGCAUGGCCCUGUGACAUCACCAUGGCCCUAGAACAUCUGCAUGGCCCUGUGACAUCAACAUGGCCCUGGAACAUCUGCAUGGCCCUAGAACAUCUGCAUGGCCCUGUGACAUCAACAUGGCCCUAGAACAUCUGCAUGGCCCUAGAACAUCUGCAUGGCCCUGGAAUGGAGGCAUUGCCCUAGAACACCGGCAUGGCCCUAGAACACCUGCAUGGCCCUGGAACAGAGGCAUGGCCCGAGAACAUCUGUAUGGCCAUGGAAGGGAGGCAUGGUUCUAGAACAUCUGCAUGGCCCUAGAACAUCUGCAUGGCCCUGGAAUGGAGGCACGGCUCUAGAACAUCAGCAUGGCCCUGGGACAUCAGCAUGGCGCUAGAACAUCUACUUGGCCCUGGAAUGGAGGCAUGGUGGCUCUGGAAUGAAGGCAUGGCUCUUGAACAUCUGCAUGGCCCUGAGACAUCAGCAUGGCCCUAGAACAUCUGCAUGGCCCUGGAAUGGAGGCAUGGUGGCCCUGGAAUGGAGGCAUGGUGGCCCUGCAAUGGAGGCAUGGCCCUAGAACAUCUGCAUACCCCUGGGACAUCAGCAUGUCCCUAGAACAUCUGCAUGGCCCUAGAAUGGAGGUAUGCCCUGAAAUAUGGAGCCAUGAGAGAAGACUUAAUAAGAAGCAGCAGGGGAGUCAGAGGCUUGGAUAGGAGGCCAGAGCUGCGAGCACAGUGGGAGAAGCUCCCCAGUCCAACAAACUAGAGGACGGUCAGUGGCACGAAGAAGAGUGAACAGGUGGAGGUGGAGGGGGAAUAAAGGGAGGUCAACGAGGCAGGGUCAAGCCUGGAGCAGCCAGACAUCCUGCAGGCCGAGCUGUGCCCGGGGGCCUUGUCUGUGUAAAGCUGCCACGGGGCUUCCCAUACAAGUGAAACCCAAGGAUCAUUCAGGACGUUCAAAGGUCCACCCAGAGCAGGAACGGGGCCAGAUGGGAGCUGAGCCCUCCAUGCACCCGAGGCCGUGAUCAUCUGAGCUGCAUCUGGAGCAGGCCAGGGCCAGGAUCCUUACAAGGGGAGGUGGGGCACCAAGGGAGGGAGAGGCCAGAUGAGUUGGAGGCUCUGACAAUUAUGGAAGUGAAGGAGUUAACACGGAAGCAAAAAUGAGCCACGAGGCCAUGGAAACACACAGCACCAACUCCCCCCUCGAAUUCCACUCAGAAUCAAACACAUGCUUGACUUAAAUUACAUAUGUUGCUGGGUUGAGAAGCAGGAGAAAAUAAAUUCAUUUAUGACUAGCACUAAAAAGGAAAACCUUCUAGUCACUGCUUCAUGCUUACGGUUUUCAUGUAGCGCAGAAAAACCCAAAUAGCAUCUGAUGCAAUUUACAUAACUUUACAUAAUCUCAUGGUUACCAUUCGGCAAAGAACUUCCAGACCACAUCUCUUCCACUUAUUUGCCGCCAAAAAAGACAAAUUGGAAAAUAUUCUGGACAGCAGCUUUCUACCCUACUCUUAAAAAUCACCAAGAAACCAACUCUACAACUUUUCUCAGUGAUAUUCAGUCUGACCAUUUUAAUCUAAAGUCUUAAUGAUAUAAUCUAAUCAAUAAACAAAUAUUUACAGACCUCCUGCUAUUUUCAAAGCAUCGAUUUCAGAACUGGCCAGAAUCCUCUUAGCUUAAAAUCUACUUCAAACUGCCUGAUCUGGGAACAAACACACUUUCUUCAACUAUGAAAUAAGAAUAAUACCAGCCACUUCAAAAGGAUGUUCUGAGGAUUGACAGGAUUAAACGUCGUUACCUGGUACCACAGGAGGUGCACACAAAAGUAUCUUCUAAUUGGAGAGCUAUGACACAAACAGAAUGAAAUUCGUGAUUCAUUCAUUCACUGUUCAAGAUGACCAAAGAGAGUGUGUGGGGCCAGGCACACUGGCUCACGCCUGUAACCCCAGCACUCUGGGAGGCCAAGGUGGAAAGAUCAUUUGAGCUCAGGAAUUCGAGACUAGCCUGGGCAACACAGGAAGACCCCCAUCUCUACGAAAAUACAAAAUUAGCUAGGCAUGGUGGUGCGUGCCUGUAGUUCCAGCUACUCAUGAGGCUGAGGUAGAAGGAUAGCUUGACCCCGGGAGGCAGAGGUUGCAGUGAGCCAAAAUUACGCCACUACAUUCCAGACUGGAAGACAGAAUGAGACCCUGUCUCAAAAAAAUAAAAAUAAAAAAGAGAGUGUGUGGCAUAUUGUGAGUAGUGAAAAACAAAUACAAACACCAAACACGGAUUUCUGGGGGGAAAAAAAAACUAUUCAUUUUUUACUCAUAAACAAAGAGUUAUUUGCCAUUACCUAUAUGAAGGGUUUUGAUUCACAGCAGGACUCUUUUAUGAUGUGAUGUGUAAAUGAUAGAUAUUAAAAUUAAAUACUGUUUACACCAAAAGUUACAAACACAUACAUACCUACUCUCUCUGUCACACACAUCUACAAGCCAAGCCCAUCCUGGUCUACACCAUGAUGAAUGUGUACACAGACUCUCUACUUGAUCAGAUAGAAUUCAAAACCAUGGGAAUUGUUGUAAAAGGUCCAUUCAGUGCCUAUUGAGAAAGGGUUACUUUGUUUCCUACCUGAAUGUUCCCUCUUUCACACACCAUCAUCAAAAAUGGCUUUUUGACAAUACAAUACUAACUCACUUUUUAAAAUAUUUAUUUAAAACUUUUAGAAUAUUUAAACAUUUUUUAAUAAAAUAUCUAACUAUGACUUUUGGUUUAUUUACAGACAUACUUGUCAAAUAAUCCUACCCUUUCUUAUACCAAUGUGUUCUGCUCUCUUAUUACUAAGCUAUCUAAUAUUUAAUGAGUGUCUCUCUGCUUCCCUCAAGCCUGGGUGCCCAGUUAGGAUUCAUUAUGAGUUUUUAGCAUAUAUACUAAAUUUUCUUAUUGAUAAACAAAUGGAACUCCAGUUACAAUGUCAGAUAACCAAAGAAAAUAAUGUGAUUGUUUAAGUUCCCUUAAUAUUACUGAAAUGUCAUUUACAUUAUAAAAUAUAAAUUUUAAAAAGGGUCAGUCUCAUAAAAACACAACCUAAUUCUACUUUUUGGAGUCCACAGUUGAGCCAUGUCACAGCUGGGUAAGUCCUGCUUGUCUAGUCACUUUCCUGUCCCAUGUGCCACCUGCCAGCAUCUUGUCCUCUACAAUCAACUACAGUAAAAAUGGCAAUUCCCAAAAACGUUCCUAAAACCAGGCUUUAAAACUUGGCAGGAGCUGCCCACAUAAACAUAAGGCCAUCUUCACACUUUCUCCUCACACUUCAUGAAUAAACAUUCCUUUAUUCAAAUGAGUUGUAUAUUAACUAACUCCACUAAUUUUGAUUUAACUUUGAAUGGUAAAUUGAGUAAUUCUGCCAAGACUGCAGAGUACGCAAUUCAAAUGACAGAAAUUUUAAUAACGGGGAAAAUAAAAAUUAGCAGCAUGACUCCUAAGGCACUAUAAUUCCAACACUUUUAUGGCAACAGUAGAAAGCACUCAUAAAUACGUCUCCAUUUACAAGCCAAGGGGUGUUAUUUGGAGCCACAUCAUCACACAUACUUACCUGCAAUCUUCCACGAGCAUCUUUUUGGGGGCUCGGCAGGCACCGACUAAAUCUCCAAAGCUCCCCAGCCCCAGACAUUAAGAGGUAAUGUCACUGCUUUUCAAUAAAUAACAAUGAAGUCGUCACUGGAUUAAAUGAUUUCCAUACAUUCUCACCAUAAACAAUAAUUAUUUGGCAGCUGCCCCUUGCAAGCAUUGCAUGCGCUUAUGAAUAAAUCAAGCCUUAUAGAUUUACUAAACCAAAACGUUUUACAUUUUGCUCCACUAAUAAGAGCCAUAAUCCUCCGCGGCACUGGGUGACGCUUUAAUGUCAUAUGUUCCUUAAUACUUUUAAUAUGAAAGAUUAGCCCUGAUUAGCUCACAAGCAGGAACGCUGCUCUGAACGGCCGAUUGGUCACAGAGCCCAGGUCUCUAAAUGCGUCUUUAUUAAUGGAGCUCUGCCUGCUGAUGGGAAUCCCCUAGUGAUGACAUCUCCUGGAGCUGCCGCCAUGCUGUUUCUCCUUCCUUGUACCAUUUCACAGACUAAUGAUGGCUUGCAUUAAUUCACAGCUUACAUUAAUUUAAAAGAGCCAUGCAAGAAAACAUGGGACUGCACAGGGUCCUAAGUGCUCUGUAAAACUAUCAUCUAAGAUAAUAAAACCACUUUCUUUCAAUGCAGUGACUCCAGUUACUAGAAAACUACUUUGGACAAUCCCAAAGUGUCCUCGAAGAUCUGGAGCUCUGCAACCUCCAUCUGACAAGGAAAGGCAUUCUCUCCCUUCCCCCAUGAAACAAGGGCAAAAUUCCCAAACAUUCCCAGGCUGUUAUCCACAACCAACUGACUUGACUCAGCUUCCGCUGAUUACUCAGCUAAGGGCUAAAAACUCUCAGUUCUCUGGUUCCAAUGGGGAACUGGGGUCUACAAUUCUUUAUGGGGGAAAAUUCUACCCAGGCAUACACCGUAACUUGCUGACCUAAUGACAGUGUCUCACAAUCUGUUAAACUGUCAUCACCUCCAACAGUAAUUCACAAACUUGAUGUCUGUGCUUUGGACAGAUUCCUGGGCUAGACGUCCAUGGAUCUUAACUCCAAACUAAACUCCAUUCCUCGUGCAUUAUAUAGGAAAACUAGCACCCAAACCCUCCUUCCUUUCUUCCUUCACAAGGGUCACAAACCUAGACAUUUCAGACUAGAAAGCUCUUUAGAGAUUCUAUACCACAACCCCCUUGAUAUGGUUUGGCAGUGUCCCCUCCCAAAUCUCAUCUUGAUUUGUAGCUCCCAUAAUUCCCCACAUGUUGUGGGAGGGACCCAGUGGGUGGUAACAGAAUCAUGGGGCGGGUUUUUCCCACGCUAUUCUCAGGAUAGUAAGUCUCAAGAGAUCUGAUGGUUUUAUAAAGGGAAAUUCCCCUGCACAGGCUCUCUUGCCUGCCACCAUGUAAGACGUGCCUUUGCUCCUCAUUUCUAAUUUGCCUUCUACCAUGACUGUGAGGCCUCCCCAGCCAUGUGGAACUGUGACUCCAUUAAACCUCCUCUUUUUUUU